rnacentral:rRNA from 1 species
AUUGAACGCUGGCGGCAUGCUUUACACAUGCAAGUCGAACGGUAACAGGUUAAGCUGACGAGUGGCGAACGGGUGAGUAAUGCAUCGGAACGUGCCCGAUCGUGGGGGAUAACGCAGCGAAAGCUGCGCUAAUACCGCAUACGAUCUGAGGAUGAAAGCGGGGGACCGUAAGGCCUCGCGCGAUCGGAGCGGCCGAUGUCAGAUUAGGUAGUUGGUGGGGUAAAGGCUCACCAAGCCAACGAUCUGUAGCUGGUCUGAGAGGACGACCAGCCACCCUGGGACUGAGACACGGCCCAGACUCCUACGGGAGGCAGCAGUGGGGAAUUUUGGACAAUGGGCGAAAGCCUGAUCCAGCAAUGCCGCGUGCAGGAAGAAGGCCUUCGGGUUGUAAACUGCUUUUGUACGGAGCGAAAAGGUCCCCUCUAAUACAGGGGGCUCAUGACGGUACCGUAAGAAUAAGCACCGGCUAACUCUGUGCCAGCAGCCGCCGUAA